rnacentral:rRNA from 1 species
CGGUAAUUCCAGCUCCAAUAGUGUAUAUUAAAGUUGUUGCAGUUAAAAAGCUCGUAGUUGAACUUCUGGCAGCGUGCAGAUUUGGCUUCGGUCAGUCUGUUCGUUGUCAUCCGUCUGCAAACCUUGUACGUCCUUGAGUGGUUCGGUGAGGGGAGUAGACAUUUUACUUUGAAAAAAUUAGAGUGUUUCAAGCAGGCUUUUGCCAGAAUACUUUAGCAUGGAAUAAUGGAAUAGGACUCUUGUCCAUUUGGUUGGUUAUUGGACCGGAGUAAUGAUUAAUAGGGACAGUUGGGGGCAUUAGUAUUUAAUUGUCAGAGGUGAAAUUCAUGGAUUUAUUAAAGACUAACUUACGCGAAAGCAUUUGCCAAGGAUGUUUUCAUUAAUCAAGAACGAAAGUUAGGGGAUCAAAGACGAUCAGAUACCGUCCUAGUCUUAACUAUAAACGAUGUCGACUCGGGAUUGGAAAGGUAACUAUUAUCCUUUCCAGCACCGUAUGAGAAAUCAUUAAGUCUUUGGAUUCUGGGGGGAGUAUGGUCGCAAGGCUGAAACUUAAAGGAAUUGACGGAAGAGCACCACCAGGCGUGGGACCUGCGGCUUAAUUUGACUCAACACGGGAAAACUUAUUUCAGCAAAACAUGAGUGGGAUUGACAGAUUGAGAGCUCUUUCUUGAUUUUAUGGGGUGUGGUGCAUGGCCGUUCUUAGUUGGUGGAGUGAUUUGUCUGGUUAAUUCCGUUAACGAACGAGAUCCCACCCCUUCGAUUUCAGUUAUAUCGUACGUAAUCAUUGGACGCUAGCUCAUGUGGUUCGUCCGUUGGUGAGAUCUAAGAUGUAUGCAAGGGGACUAUGUGUGUUGAUAACACAUUGAAGUCUGGGCCAAUAGCAGGUCUGUGAUGCUCCUAGAUGUUCUGGGCUGCACGCGGCAUACAAUGGUGAAAGCAGUAGGAUUGGUUCGAUCGAGCUCCUGUUUCGAAAGUAUUGGGAAAUCCCCUCAGAUUUGACUGUGGCUGGGAUAGACAAUUGCAACUGUUUGUCUUGAACUAGGAAUGCCUUGUAAGCACAUCUCAUUACAGUGUAUUGAAUGCGUCCCUGCCGUUUGUACACACCGCCCGUCGUUGCAAUCGAUUGGUUUGAUCGUAGAGUACUUCUGGAGAAACACCAGCAGGCUCUCUCGAGUCUGAUGAUUGGGUUGAAGUUGAGCAAUACUGUGGAACUAGAGAAUGCAAAAGUCGUAACAAGGUAGCCG